ensembl:snRNA Gm25384 U6 spliceosomal RNA
AUGGUCAUUUCGGCAGCACAUAUACUAAAAAUUAGAACAAAAAGAAGAUUAGCAAGACCCCUGAGUGAGGAUGACAACCUAAUCCCUGAAGCACUCCAUACUUUU